GAUGAAGAACGCAGCGAAAUGCGAUAAGUAGUGUGAAUUGCAGAAUUCAGUGAAUCAUCGAAUCUUUGAACGCACAUUGCGCCUUCUAGAAUUCUGGGAGGCAUGCCUGUUUGAGCGUCAUUAAACCUCUCUCAAGUAUGAUUACUUGGAUGUGAAGGAAGAGUACCUUAAACUUAAGGAGUGUUCUCCUUUGAAAUUGAUUAGCAGAUGGUAAUGUUAUUAAAUCCCUGAUGUUGUAAGAAAUAACAGUGGUUUUGUAGACUAUUAUCUAGCUUUAAAUUAUAAUUUUUAUUAUGGUUGACCUCAAAUCAGGUAAGGAUACCCGCUGAACUUAAGCAUAUCAAUAAGCGGAGGA
rnacentral:misc_RNA from 1 species